CCGACUUUUUGUGCCACUGGACCAAAGCUGAGAGAGUGGGACUGUCACUGUGCUUCAACUUUUCCACUUAAAUCUUCAUGCACAAGUGUCUUUGUGCACAAAAACACACAAAGACAAUAGUCAUCCUCAGUUACCAAGAGACUACUACCAUACCAUACCAUACCACCAUAUAUAUAUAUAUCCCCAUUUACAUCUCUACUUCCACCUCUGAAUAGCUCUUUAUAUAUCUGUAUCUUCUAGAUAUCCAUCUUCAUUUCUCUCUGGGUCCCUGUCUUUCCGCCUUUCUUGCUUUCAUUCAUAUAAAUGGUUUAUAUCACAGGCAGCACUGUGAGAGGGAGCUAAAAGUGGCUCAGUGGAUGAUGACAUUGGCCAGCAGUCAGGAAGGACUGAAAUCAAAUCCAGUCUUUGACACUUACUAGCUGUGUGACCAUGGGGAAGUAACAACUUCUGUUUGUCUUAAUCCACUGGAAAAGGAAAUGGCAAAUGAUUCUAGUAUUUUUGCCAAGAAAACCCCAUAGACAGCAAAGUCAAUGAGGUCACAAUGAGUCAGACAUGACUGAACAACCACAUGCCAGGUUCUGUGCCAAGUCAUAAGGAUAAAAAGGAAGACAAGUGAAGAGCAACCAAGACCUGGUUUGCUGCUGCUUUUCCCAGGCUGAGAUUUGGGAUUUGCUUUGGCACUGCCUGUGCUAGACUCUGCUUCACUAUCAUCCCAGUGAUAAAGUUGGUUCUGCCUCUACCGAAUUGUUUUGAGAUGUUAUUCUAACACUGUUUGAAGGGAAUAUGGGAGAGUUCAGUCUUUUUGCCUAGGCAGCCUGCUAAUCAAUUCGUGGGUGGACGAUAUCUACAUGAAUCCACUGAGUUCCAGUACAGAUUCAGCUUAUCAGGUCAGCUCUGGGGAUUCCCAUGGUAAUGCUGGCUCUGCCAUGUUGUUACUAAUGAUGACACAGAUGCCAGAGGGACACCAGAAUCCAAAUGGAAGAAAUGCUAUGGAAACAAUUCAUUUAUGAUGCUAGCAGCUUUAUGGAGCAUCUUUUGGGAACUGAAGGUGUACUUAUGUCUCAAGGGAAAGCUGAGAGAAUAAUUGUGGCAUAAGUUCAUUUAAGACUCUUCUAGCUGGCUUUCCUAAUAUGGAGCUUCUGUUUUAUACCUUAUACAUCCCAUACCUGGCUGUGUAUCAUUGCCAACUUUGUCCUGGCAUUAAUUAAUUAAUACUUGAAAGGAGGGGGGCACUUUUCCCUUAUUUUAGUCAUGCCCCCCUUCUUUUUUCUUUCAUGACAAUUUUUCCAUAAUCACAAAAGGUGAUACAAUCAUUAGACAAAUGCUGGAACAUAUAGGAAUUAAAAUCAAAUAGAUGACUACUGAGUUUAUCAACUACAUGUAACUAGUGACAAGGUCUUUGAAAAUAUAUGAGGUUAUGAGAAUAAUGGAAAAAUUUUGCAGUAGUAGCUUAUGAAACAAAAGUAUAAGUCUAAUUAGUGGCAUUGGUAAGGUUAAGUUUGGUUGUUAAAUUAGUUAUCAGAAGAGAAGAAUGACUUAUGAUCUCAUUACCUCAACAAGAUAUUCAGUCAGUUAGGUGUGGAAUUUAAUUUGGUAUUAAUUGUUGUAUAUAUAAAGCAUAAUCAGAAAGUACAGAAGAAUUCAAAGGGAUUUGAAACAAGUUUGUGUUUUUAAGACUUUAAUAUUAGUGAAAUAUCUAAUCCAUUUUAGCAAUGUUAUUGGCAACUAAAUUGAUUUCUUUUUAGAUAGACUCCUCUCCAUGGCCCUUUGUUAAAAUGAACUUAGAAUUAAGAACAAAUUCUUCCAUGUGAUUUAAAAGAACAUUGUUAUUAGAUCACCUCAUUCUUCUUGGGAGAGAAAUGAGGCUCUUGAUAGUAUCUUAUUUUCCUCUGGGUAGAUGAGAAUUUUGAACUUAAUUUUAGUUUUUGAAUUUAAUUUAACCAAUUUUUAACUUAAAAAUUUAUAUAAGUGCUCAUAACAUUCACAUACUGCAAUCAAUGAUUAUUUGAU
rnacentral:lncRNA from 1 species